rnacentral:rRNA from 1 species
GACGAAGGGGGCUAGCGUUGUUCGGAAUUACUGGGCGUAAAGCGCACGUAGGCGGCUUUGUAAGUUAGAGGUGAAAGCCUGGAGCUCAACUCCAGAAUUGCCUUUAAGACUGCAUCGCUUGAAUCCAGGAGAGGUGAGUGGAAUUCCGAGUGUAGAGGUGAAAUUCGUAGAUAUUCGGAAGAACACCAGUGGCGAAGGCGACUUACUGGACACAUAUUGACGCUGAGGUGCGAAAGCGUGGGGAGCAAACAGG